AUCCCUUUUAAAGCGUUACCAUAUUUGACUGCAGCUCCUGCAGCAGCACACCUCCACAAACUCCACUCUCUCUCCUGUCAAAAUGCCAGACUUUGCCGACGCUGUGCCAGCACCAUGCCAGGUAAUCAAAGAGGACUCUGACAAAUGUGUCAGAGACAAGGGGAUGGAGACCUGUAAAGAUCUGAUGGAUGCCUUCCAGGCCUGUGUAAAAACCCUGUCUGAGGGGUCAUGAUGCACAGUGAGAUCCAUUUAAAUAAAAAAAAAACUUUACCUCAGGUUCUUCACUUUCCCAUCUUCUUAUUACGCUGGAAGAAACCAUCUGAAAACUGAAGAGGGGGGUGUUGCUUAUGAAUUUAGCUCCAUACUUCUACUUAUUCUGUUAUAAUGGUUGUAAUUGUUAUACUCUAAGACUAAUUAGCUUACUGUCGAUAACAAGUUUGUAUGAUACCUUACAAUAAACUUUUUUCAACAUA